CUACAUAAUGGGUAGUAUGGCACCACUAAGUCAAGAGAUGGUAAGACACCACCACCUCCUCAUAGUCAAGAAAAGGAGAGAUGAUGAACCACCACCAAGUCUAAGGCAUCAUAACUCCAGACCUCUUUCAUAUUCAACCAGAUAAAACCUAAUUAUGGAAUAGGUAUUUGAUAGGACUUUUUUACCAAUUACGGUAAUUAAUUCGUAAAAUUGCAUCUAUUUAGUAAAAUAUCAUAUUUUAUAAAAGACUGAAUGAAAAAUUAGAAGUUAAAACUACCAUCAAUAUCAACAUAAAAAUAGCCAUAUCA
rnacentral:lncRNA from 1 species